CCAUGGAUAAUAAAAUAAAUGGAUUGGACUCUAGCUGACGUAAGCAAAAACAACCUGGUUGCAAUCUGUGACGUCACGCGUAUUGCAAAAUUCUUGGCAUUUUUGUUGUUUCGCUAUAUUUUCCGCUUUAAAAGAGUAAUAUUGAAGCAUAAACUGGUCUAAUUGUUUUAAAAACAUGCCUAAGCCACGACAAAGUAUUCAGGGUAAAUGUUUUUCGUCUUUGUUUUGUAUUUUUUUUACAUUUGUAGCUACGAAAUUGGCGUCCCCAAUUUUAACGAAAUUUGCGAUGCAUUUUUCACUAUUUAGUGCUUGAAAUAUUUGCUAAAAUUGACUGGGAAUACUUAGAGAUUUCAUCGUAGAAUGGCGUAGUCAUAUUUAUUUGCUCUUUGACUAAAAUUUUUAGCUGUAUUAUUGCUAAACAUGCCGUUUUUGAGAAUUUGGUUUGCAACUAGGUUUCAACAUCCAACCACGCCAUCAGCCCAUUGAAAACAUUAGAUCACGUCAGCUAGUUUCCUAUCCAUUUAUUU